rnacentral:rRNA from 1 species
UACGGAGGGUGCGAGCGUUAUCCGGAAUCACUGGGCAUAAAGCGCACGUAGGCGGCUAGGUCCGUCCGAUGUGAAAGCCCCCGGCUCAACCGGGGAAUUGCAUCGGAUACAGCCUGGCUUGAGGACGGUUGGGGUGAGUGGAACUCCUGGUGGAGCGGUGAAAUGCGUAGAUAUCAGGAGGAACACCGGUGGCGAAAGCGGCUCACUGGACCGUUUCUGACGCUGAGGUGCGAAAGCUAGGGGAGCAAACGGG